rnacentral:rRNA from 1 species
GAGUUUGAUCUUGGCUCAGGAUGAACGCUAGCGGCAGGCUUAACACAUGCAAGUCGAGGGGUAGAGUAGCAAUACUUGAGACCGGCGCACGGGUGCGUAACGCGUAUGCAACCUACCUUUUACAGAGGGAUAGCCCAGAGAAAUUUGGAUUAAUACCUCAUAGUAUAUGUCUUUCGCAUGUUAGACAUAUUAAAGUUCCAACGGUAAAGAUGGGCAUGCGUCCUAUUAGCUAGAUGGUAAGGUAACGGCUUACCAUGGCAACGAUAGGUAGGGGUCCUGAGAGGGAGAUCCCCCACACUGGUACUGAGACACGGACCAGACUCCUACGGGAGGCAGCAGUGAGGAAUAUUGGACAAUGGGCGCAAGCCUGAUCCAGCCAUGCCGCGUGCAGGAAGACGGUCCUAUGGAUUGUAAACUGCUUUUGUACGGGAAGAAACACUCCCUCGUGAGGGAGCUUGACGGUACCGUAAGAAUAAGGAUCGGCUAACUCCGUGCCAGCAGCCGCAGUAAG